rnacentral:tRNA from 1 species
CGGCCUGGCGGCUGACCGGGCAACAUGUCAGCGCUGCUUCCCCUGGCGCCGGAAGGGUGGUUCGUGUCCGCCCAGGCCGG